rnacentral:rRNA from 1 species
UACGUAGGCAGCAAGCGUUGUUCGGAGUUACUGGGCGUAAAGGGUGCGUAGGCGGCUUUUUAAGUUUGGUGUGAAAUCUCCCGGCUCAACUGGGAGGGUGCGCCGAAUACUGAGAGGCUAGAGUGUGGGGAGAGGAAAGUGGAAUUCCUGGUGUAGCGGUGAAAUGCGCAGAUAUCAGGAGGAACACCGGUGGCGAAGGCGGUGAUCUGGGCCGACACUGACGCUGUAGAGCGAAAGCGUGGGGAGCGAACAGG